rnacentral:rRNA from 1 species
UACGGAGGUGGCAAGCGUUGCUCGGAAUCACUGGGCGUAAAGGGCGCGUAGGCGGGGAGGUAAGUCGGGUGUGAAAUCCCUCGGCCCAACCGAGGAACUGCGCCCGAGACUGCUUCUCUUGAGUCCCGGAGAGGAAGAUGGAAUUCCCGGUGUAGCGGUGAAAUGUGUAGAGAUCGGGAGGAACACCAAUGGCGAAGGCAGCUUGCUGGGACGGUACUGACGCUGAGGCGCGAAAGCGUGGGGAGCAAACAGG